UGGGUUGGGCCAAGUGCUUGGAUCUCGACCAAUUGCCCACGCAUUAACUAGUACUUGUGAAUUCUUUGGAAUUGUGAAGCCACAUAUUUCUACGUCUGUUUCAGCUUUAUGGGGAACUAGCAGUGGGGCUGGUGGGUGCAACCGAAAGGUUUCUUUAACUAUGGAUUGUAAGUAAGGGAACUUCGAGAUGUCUGAUUCUUGAACUAUCCCUUCAUUCCCAAGGACUCCUCGGAUCUCCUUUUGAGCUUUUGCAAUUUUUUCCGGGUUGCAUAGUAACUCUGCCAUUGCCCACUCUACUGUGCUUGAAGUCGUGUCAGUUCCCGCAACAAAGAGAUCCUGAUCAUACAAAGCAAUGUUAGAAUUAAGGUUUCAUUGAUCAUAAUUUGCAAUUUGCACUUACCAAUGUUUUCUACAUGAAAUCUCAAGAAAAAUGUGUGCAAGAAGAAACUCCAAGGAAGACUGACUUCUAAUUCAUUGCUUACUUAAAUUUUCUAGGUCAAUUCAGUUUAAUAACUAUAACAAAUUUCAUAAAUGCAUCAAAUUGAAUGUGACGUAUGUGCAUAAAGACAAUUAAAUGAUUUCAUUUCCAUAGUCAUCCGAAAACGCCCUUGUAAAAUUUAACAGACAAAAGGAGUACUGAUUACUAAUAGUGAAGAUGUAGUUACCCACCAGAAGCAAAUGUUUUAUAUCACUGCAGCUCCACUCAUUGUCAUUUUCUUUUGUGAGAUUGAGGAGGGCAUCUAGUACAUCCUUGCUUGCUGAUGAAGUUUUUGAUUGCAACCUUUGAUUUAUUAUACCAUCAAAAAUAUGAAAUAAUUUAUUAAAAUAAAUUUUCAUGUUCCACCGUAUACCUUGUGGAUCAAUCAAUCUAAAGGCCGGGAAAUAAUCUACAAAGUUGGGUCUUCCAACUCCUUCCAUCACACCCCGGGCAAUAUUCUUGAACUCUUGUGAAAAAUUAGAACCAUGAUGAGCCAAAUUAAUGGAGAAAAUAGUGUUCGAUAACAAAUUAAGGCUUGCUGUGAAGACUGCUCCAUUAAUAUCGACUGCACAACCCCUACUGCAACAUUCUUCCACAUGAUCCAGCAGUUCCUGUACAAUUUUUCUCCGAAGGCCUUGGCUGGCAUCGAGCUGCUGCACCGAAAAUAUUUCCCUGGUGCAUAUCUUCCUAAUCUUUCGCCAAUGCACUGAUGCUGGAACCCAUACCACUGAAGACUCAUGAUGAUUAUGCGCUCUGACAGCAUCCGGGACUGUUCGGCUGGAGAAAGCUUGAUCAUUUCUGUGUAGGACCUCUUUUGCAGUUUCUGAAGAGGAAAUGACUAUGGUAGCAAUACUCCCAAGCUUGAGAGACAUUACAGGACCAUAAGUUUUGGAGAGAUUUGCAAGUGAUCGAUGGGGUUUGUCCCCAAGUUUGAGGAUGUUGCCGAUGAUUGGCAAAGGCCGGGGGCCUGGAGGGAGGCUGGCUGUACCAGGUUUCCGGCCAAUCGGACUGAGUUUGAGGAGAUGAAUGCAUGUCCACACAAAGGAAAGCAAAAGCAAAAAUGUUAUGUAAUCCAUUGUCUACUUCUUUUCACUCUUUUCCUCUCUUCUCUUGUUUAUGAGACACGGGAUUCUCCCUAUCGUCUCUGGUAUCUGUAUGGAAACAUGUGGACCAUGAAAUACUAAUCAACAAAACAAUGGUCUACUUUUUAAUUUCUUAUUUGGCUUUAGUGUUAUUUUCAUGAAAAAUCAAGGACGGACCACAGCCAACUUAAUAAACCCGUGAGUGAUUCUGCUACGAAACAACACCAACCAUGGAAAACAAAAUAAUGCUGCAAAACUAACAUAUAACACUGUUAAAAAAAAUCACCAUUCACAGACAAAGCCUUUUACCCAUACAAAUAUACACUAAAGGAAAAAUAUUUAUACAAUAAUCAUGUACGCUUGUCUUUAUGGGUCUUUACUAAUCCUCAAAACUUCUCUUUAUAAGUCAUAUAACCUUUUCUUGGCUUAAUGAAGAUGAGUUUUCAUUCUUCACUUUAAUUUUAAAAGUUAAUAAUCAUUUUUAAACAAAUUUUAAAAUAGAAAACUAACACACCUACAAGCUAUCAAUUUCUCAUUCUUGUUUAUCAAACCAACAACAUUUAUGUUUUACAUAGAAAAAUCAUAUAUAUAUAUAUAUAUAUAUAUACCAAUGUCAUUAAAAAUAUUCUUUUUCUUCUUAUUGUUAUAUAUAUAUAUAUAUAUAUAUAUAUAUAUAUAUACCAAACAUAAUUUUGUUUUUAUUUUUAAAAUAAAAAUAGAAUUAGAAUAUACAAAUUUAAUUAAACAAUUUUUAGUUUUCUACUUCUAGAAAUAGUAAAAAGAUCAAGAUCGUACAUUCCAAUAAUUUUUACUUAUUUAUAAUCUUUGGUGAAAAUAAAAAUGAAAUAAAGCCUGAAAGAUUAGGAUGUGAUGUCAAUAUGAUCAAUACUUGAGUUGUAAGUUGGCAUGGGGUUUAAUUAAAUAAAUUAUGGUAUAUAAUUAAUUAAUGGGCUUGGUCUUGUCUUAACGGACGAAACCACUUAGAGGAAGUGUGAAUAGGUAAGAAUAACUUUCUAACAUCGAUCUCCCUCCUCGUUAGGAUCCAAUCAAUGAAGUAGGCUACUGCUAUAUGAACCUGGAUGCGAUGUGAGGCAGUAUAGAAUGUACUACACUCAAAAAUACCAAAUUGUCAAGCUGGUUUGAUCACAUCAAUCAAUGGAAUACAUAUGGGUAAGAGACAAGCCUCCUCAUAAAAAGCAUGAGCAAUAGCCGCACACUCAACUCGUAAGAGGGUCAGGAUAUUAGAAACCAUAGGAGGAUCAAUGCCUUAAUAUAGACACACAUCCCCAAGUCAAUUUUUGACAAAUCUAUCAAGAAGACACAACAAAGUCUAAACCAUUUAUCAAAACACUAAAAUAUACUCUAGGAAUAUACUAAUAAUGGAUGUUAUCAUAGAACAUCCAAGUGCAGUGAUUAGGGUAUAUAGCCAUUUGAAUAGACAUAAUAGCCUUCCACCUCUAGUCAUAGACAAUGUAGGGAAUACGAGUACCCAAACUUAGAAAAAAUCAUAUAGCACACUUUGGCUCAACAUGUCUCUCAAAGAUUAUAUCAUAGAAUGCAAUCCUAUGUUUCAUAAAAUAGAAAUAAUGAAUGGGAAGGUUAUAUUGUAUAGGAUUGAUGAAUAGGUGUCCUAACAUGAGGAGACCUAGAAUGAGAAGCAGCCUACUUCUAGACCCACCUCUACCACAAGUCAUAGGAAAAAUAAGAGAAAAUUUUGGGAAUAGAAAUUAAUCUAGGAAAGUGUGCGAUCAAAAGUGUCCUAAACAUUGAGCUUAGAGGCCCAUUAAAGUCAAAUAUAAAGAGAAAUUGCAAGAAAAUCUUAUGAAGGAAGAGCAACGAAUGUUAGAAGAGAAAGGAGAUAAAAAUGGAGGCAUAUAGUGAAUAUCAAGUGUUGGUGCACUUUUAAAAUUAAGGACAUUCGAAUAUCUCAUAAAGAGUGUGUAGACCCUUAAUUUUAUUCAUAUUUAUAUGAUAUAAGCUUAUUUAGAUGUAGUCUUUUGACUUACCAUUUCUCUUGACUUUAUUUUAUUCCAUUUUAUAAUUAUUUUUAUUUAACUUUUUCACUUUUAUUCUCUAUUCUUUCUCAGUUCUUCCUUACCUUGCUUUUCUUUCUCUCCACACAUCACCAUACGUGCACCAUGAUUACACUUCCAUUAAUUUCUAAAGAAACAAACAAUUUCCUCCAUUUGUUUUUUAGAAAGGAAUGCGGGUAUAUCUAAGCCAAACUAGAAGUGGGACUUGUGUUGUUGAGUGAUCAUUGUACAUUCAAAUCUAACAAUAAGAUACUGGAGUCCUCCGCGUUAAUUAAUUUUCCAGAUGAUAUAUUGUUUGUCAACAUAAUGUUUGGGAAACACCCCAAUUUGCCACUUAGUUGGCCAAUCUCUACCAUCCUACCAAACACAUUUCUUUUUCUUUCCUUCACUCACUGUUUUACAAAUCUACUUGCAGGGUAACUUUCAACAAUGAAGGAUGGACCACAGCCAAAAGAACGGAUUGUACUAUAGCGCAUGGAAAACAAUAAUGCUGGAAACUAUCUUUCCUUUUUCUCACUGUUUUUCAAAUCUACUUGUUGGGUCGCUUUAAAAAAAAUGAAGGAUGGACCAUAGGCGGAGCUAGAAAAUGACCUGAGAGGGGCCAAAAUAUGAGAACAUAUUUCAGAGGGACAUAAAUGAUUGAAUUUACCUAGUGAUGUAGUGGCAAUGAAAGAUAUUUUUAUUCUUUUCCUAGGUGGGACAAGCACCAUGUGGCUCUGCUCCUGGAUGAACCACAACCAAAAGAAAGGACAAACCGACAUUGCUUGUACUGUAACACUUAGCAUGGAAAACAAUAAUGCAUGUUUUAAAAACUGAUCAAUCAAAGCCUGGUCCAGUUCGAUUCACAUGUUGAGCUGAAGCCAAGGAACCUACUGAACAGAGGUUGAGAUGGACCAAAAAUACCACAUACCACAAAUCUAUAGUAUGGGACCAUUGAUCGAAGAUUCAAAGAAAUGACUGUGCAACCACUAGAUCUAGUGCUAGUUUUGUUAUAUAACAGUUGCAUUAUUAGCUAAAUUUAUCCUACUUAUUUAUGUAAUAAUAAAUUUGAAAAAAUAAUAUAAGCAAAAUAACCUACUAUCUUUUAAAACUAUAAAAUAAUCUAAUAUUUAAUAUGUAAAUAAAGUUAAAUAAUAUUAUAUAUAUAUAUAUAAUAUAAAAUAUGAAAAUGUUAGCUGACUUAUUUCAUGAGCAUUUUUGUUUCAGUCAUCUAAAAAAAUUAACUCUGUUAUUGUUAAACUAUGAUUCCCUGCAAUAAAAACACUACAUUAAACCAUGAUUUCGAUUACUCUGAUGAGCAUAUUCCUCCUUAGUUCUUUCAUCUAUAUUGUAGCACAAGACUAUUACAACUUCUAUCCACCCUUUUAGCUGUUUCUCAUGCAAGUGACACAACAGAGAAAAAACAAAGGUCCCACCUAUUGUACCUAAAUCCUUCUUUAUUUAUAUCAUGAUUUUAUAUAUUUAUACUACCGUUUAGUAAUUAUAUUUUAUCAAAUAUUUUGAAAACCUUGGGUGGGUAUUAGGUAAUAAUAGGGUACAUAAACAACAUAGAAGUUGCAUUCAUUAAAACAUAAAAAUACAAUCAAACUUUGAUUGGAAUAGCCCGUAGAGGCUGGACCUUGUGUAAUGUCAACCCCAAUUUCUCAUUCAUGUCCAUAUCUGCUGGUUUCAUACCAUCGUCAAGCUUCCAAGCAUAGGAAUGAAGAAGAGAGGCCAAUAUCAGGUGCACCAUCCUAUGAGCUAAUGGCAGUCCAAGACAUAUUCUUCUUCCCGCACCAAAUGGAAUCAACUCAAAAUCCCGGCCUUUGACAUCAAUAUCACACCCCAAAAACCUCUCAGGUACGAAUGCAUUUGGGUUCGACCAAGUGCUUGGAUCUCGACCGAUAGCCCAUACAUUAACUAGUACUUGGGAAUUCUUUGGAACUGUGAAGCCGCGUAUUUCUACAUCAGAUUCAGCUUUAUGGGGAGCUAGCAGUGGGCCUGGUGGGUGCAACCUAAAGGUCUCUUUGACUAUGGCUUGAAAGUAAGGGAGCUUUGAGAUGUCUGAUUCUUGAACUAUCCCAUCCUUGCCAAGGACUUCUUGGAGCUCCCUUUGAGCUUUUGCCAUUUUUUCCGGGUUGUGUAGUAGCUCUGCCAUUGCCCACUCUAUUGUGCCUGAAGUGGUGUCAGUUCCCGCAAGAAAGAGAUCCUGAUCACACAAAGCAGCGUUAGAAUUAAGGUUCCAUUGAUCAUCGUUUACAAAUAUGCAGUUACCAACGUUUCCUACACGAAAUCUCAAGAAAAAUUGUACAAGAAAUAACUACAAGGAAGACUAACUUCUAAUUGAUUGUUUACUCAAGUGUUUAGGUCAAUUUCAGUUUAAUAACUUAACCAAUUUCACAGUUAAAAGUUAAAAGGAAAUGCAAUUGCAGGUACAUAAUAUAGAUACUUCAGUGGAGAAGUUACCAAGGAUUAGAUAGAAUGAUUUAUAAAUUAUUCCAAAAGUCACUAAAGCCAUUCUUCAUCAAAAUUAGGUUGUAGUUCAGCUAAAAGAUUGAGAAAUUCAAUCUUCUCGUGUGUGUAUAUAUAGGUGUUACUAUUGAAUGAAAUCCAUAUAUGCAGGAGGCAUUUAAAUAAGGAACUUAAAUUAUUCCAUAAUAUAUAUGAACUAGAUUCUUCAAUUCCAACGAAAGAGUAAAUCAUUACAAAUAGUAUCAUAGUCAACCUCAUUGGAGGAGUUUGUUUGGUCUUGCAUAAAUGUCUUAAUUUUGUAUAAUAACUACAACAUGGGAGGAAAGGUGUGGGUCUUAUAGUUAAAAGAUGACCAUACAAAUGUAUUUUGAAGCAAAGAUUGAGAUUCAAGAAAGCCAUGUCACUUUCUUGAAUUCCAUAAAAUAGUUUUACAUCUUUUAUGAAGUAAGCUUAUACUCUAAAAUGCAAUGUAAUGAAUGCAAAAGGUAGUUAAUAUGAUAUCUCAAAUCAAAGAAAGGAAAAAGUUUUAAUGCUAUAUAUGUUUGGAUUUUUUUUAAUUUUGUGGACGCGUUUUAAAAUCGUGAAAAAACAAUUGUUAUAAAUAAUAUCAACCCCAAGGUAAAGUUUGUUUGGCUAUAUAUGCAAGGGGUGUCUAUUUCUUGGCACUAUAUAUAUCUUAACUUUGAAUAAUAUCUUCAUGGGAAGGAGCAGGGCUCUAUCUACUGACACUAUAUAUAUGUCUUCACUUUGUAUAAUAUCUACAUGGAAGGAAGCAACGAAUGUAUGAGCUCUUUUUAACCUUGUAAAAAAUAAUAUCUACUUAGCUUGUAGACUACGAUAUCUACUUGAGAGGUACUAGUACAUCGUAUCAAAUGUAUAGUGAAGCAAAGAUUGAGAUAUGGUACUCACCAUAAGCAAAUGUAUAAUAUCUCUGCAGCUCCACUCUUGGUUAUUUUCUUCUGUGAGAUUGAGGAAGGCAUCUAGUACAUCGUUGCUUGCUGAUGAAGCUUUUGAUUGCAACCUUUGAUUGAUUAUACCUUCAAAAAUAUGAAUCAAUUUAUCGAGAUGAAUCUUCAUGUUUUGCUGUAUACCUUGUGGGUCAAUCAAUUUAAAGGCCGGGAAAUAAUCUGCAAAAUUGGGUCUUCCAGCGUCUUCCAUCACACGCCAUACAAUAUCCUUGAACUCUUGUGAAAAAGUAGAGGCGUGAUGAACCAAAUUAAUGGAGAAAAUGGUGUUUGAUAACAAAUUAAGGCUUGCUGUGAAGGUUGCUGCACCAAUAUCGACUGCACAACCCCUACCGCAACAUUCUUCCGCAUGGUCCAGCAGUUCCUGUACUAUUUUUCUCCUAAGGCCUUGGCUGGCUUCAAGCCGCUGCACCGAAAACAUUUCCCUGGUGCAUAUCUUCCUAAUCUUUCGCCAAUAAGCAGAUGCCGGACUCCAUACUACCGAAGAUUCAUGAUGGUUAUGGGCUUUGACGGCAUCUAGAACUACUCGGCCAGAGAAGGCUUGAUUAUUUCUGUGUAGGACCUCUUUGGCAGUUUCAGAAGAGGAAAUGACUAUGGUGGAAACACUCCCAAGCUUGAGAGACAUUACAGGGCCAUAAGUUUUGGAGAGAUUUGUAAGAGAUUGAUGAGGUUUGUCCCCAAGUUUGAGGAUGUUGCCGAUGAUUGGAAAGGGGCGGGGGCCUGGAGGGAGGCUGGCUGUACUGGGUUUCCGGCCAGUUGGACUGAGCUUGAGGAGAUGAAUGCAGGUCCACACAAAGGAAAGCAAAAGCAAAACUGUAAUGUAAUCCAUCGGCUAUCCCUUUCAAUACUACUCUUCUAUUCUUGAUGCUCCGAUUCUCCCCAUCUUCUGUGGUAUUUGUAUAGAAACAUGAGGACCAUGAACUGCUUAUCAACAAAUUAAUCACGGUUAUUUUGGUAUUUGUAUCAAAUGAAUUUAGUUUUUUUUGCCAAAUGCAUAAAUUAGGUUUUGAGGAGGCACUAAGAAAUGGAUGGCUUUUGGACAUUAAAGUGUCCAAAAGUAGGUAAGAAAUUAAUAAAUUAUUGAAAUCCAAGGGAAAAGUAGGUAAGAAAUUAUUGAAAUCCAAGAGACUUGUAAAAUUUGAAUUCUAAUAUCCACACGUGAUUUCCGUGUAUCCUACUCGACCAUGAGACUUGCAUGACUUGGACUCAACCAUCUAAAUGGAAAUUGUUUGAGAUUUAAUUAAUAGUAAAAUCCUAUUUCUUUUUUUUUUAUUGACAAUACUAAAAAUUUUAUUCAACAUAAAAAAAAUUUGUAUAAGACAAAAUAAAGCUUUGACAAGAAGAACAUUUUAUUAACUUUCAUAUUAAGUUUUUAAAAAAUCUUAAAUAAAUUAAUUAAGCAGCCAUAAAACCUUUUAUUGAACUUUAAAAAAGGUUUUUCUCUUCUCAUAAAUCAAACCAAGACAUAAACAUUUUAUGGAAAAACUUGGAAAAGUAGGUUGAUAUAUUUGAUUUGUGAACAUAACAAAAUUGAAUACAUAAAGAUGAAAAGUUAAGGUUUAUUUGGUUUUUCGAGAAUAGUAUUCAAAAACAUUUUCAAUCAUUUGAUAUAUAGUAAUGUUAUCGACUUUUUUUCUACAUUUUUAAAUAUUUCGUAAAAAUAUUUUUGAUAUAUAGUAAUUUAUUUUCAAUCAUUCUUCAUAUUUAUAUAUUUAUUUUUACACAUGAUUCCAAAAAGGCAAAAAAUAAGGGAAAAUAUUUCUUUCAGAAAUUAGAAUAUAAGUGAAAAUACCCUCUUUUUAAAAAAAAAUUACUAAAUUAAUGUAGUUUUUGAAUUGUAGAGGGGACCAACCAAUUCCUUUUCUGAUAGGGUUUACCUUUUCAAGCCCUUUUGAAUUGUAUAUUCAUUUUUCCAAACAUCUUUGUCUCGGCUCAUUUAUUUCAUAAACAUUUUUGUUUCAGUCGUCUGAAAAUGUCUACUCUGUUAUUGUUCCAAGUUCCUACAAUCAAGACACUACAUUAAACCAUGAUUUGGAUGACCCCGAUGACAAUAUUCAUAUUUAGUUCUUUCUUCUAUAUUGUAGAGCAAGACUACUAAAACUUCUAUCCACCCUUUUAGCUGUUUCUGAUUAAAGUGAUACAACAGAGAAAAAAACAAAUAUUUUGAAAAACUUGGGUGGGUAUUAGGUAAUGAUAGGGUAGAUAAACAACAUAGAAGUUACAUUCAUUACAACAUAAAAAUACAAUCAAACUUUGAUGGGAAUAGCCCGUAGAGGCUGGGCCUUCUGUAAUGUAAAUCCCAACUUCUCAUUCAUGUCCAUAUCUUCUGGUUUCAUACCAUCGUCAAGCUUCCAAGCAUAGGAAUGAAGAAGAGAGGCCAAUAUCAGGUGCACCAUCCUAUGAGCUAAUGGCAGUCCAAGACAUAUUCUUCUUCCAGCACCAAAUGGAAUCAACUCAAAAUCUCGGCCUUUGACAUCAAUAUCGCACCCCAGAAACCUCUCAGGCACGAAUGCAUUCGGGUUCGACCAAAUGCUUGGAUCACGACCGAUAGCCCAUGCAUUAAUUAGUACUUGGGAAUUCUUUGGAACUGUGAAGCCGCAUAUUUCUACAUCAGUUUCAGCUUUAUGGGGAACUAGCAGUGGGGCUGGUGGGUGCAGCCUAAAGGUCUCUUUAACUAUGCCUUGUAAGUAAGGGAGCUUUGAGAUGUCUGAUUCUUGAACUAUCCCAUCCUUGCCAAGGACUUCUUGGAGCUCCCUUUGAGCUUUUACCAUUGUUUCCGGGUUGUGUAGUAGCUCUGCCAUUGCCCACUCUAUUGUGUCUGAAGUGGUGUCAGUUCCCGCAACAAAGAGAUCCUGAUUAUACAAAGCAGAGUUAGAAUUUAGGUUUCAUUGAUCAUAGUUGGCAAAUAUGCAGUUACCAAUGUUUUCUACAUGAAUGGAAAAGAAAAACUGUACAAGAAAUAACUCCAAGGAAGACUAACUUCUAAUUGAUUGUUUACUUAAGUUUUUAAGUUAAUUUCAGUUUUAUAACUUAACCAAUUUCACAGUUAAAAGUUAAAAGGAAACGCAAUUGCAGGUACAUAAUAUAGAUACUUCAGUGGAGAAGUCACCAAGGAUCAGAUAUAAUGAUUUAUAAAUUAUUCCAAAAGUCACUGAAGUCAUUCUUCAUCAAAAUUAGGCUGUAGUUCAGCUAAAAUAUUGAGAAAUUCAAUCUUCUCGUGUAUAUAUAUAGGUGUUACUAUUGAAUGAAAUCCAUAUAUUCAGGAGGCAUUUAAAUAAGGAACUUAAAUUACUCCAUAAUAUAUAUGAACUAGAAGUGAUAUCAAAAAAAUAGAAUUCAGAAAAUAGUUUAACAUCUUUUAUAAAGUAGGGUUAUACUCUAAAAUGUAAUGCACAGAAUGAAAAUGAUAGUUAAUGUGAUAUCCCACAUCGGAAAAAAGAAAAAGUUUCUAACAUUGUAUAUAUGGUUUCUCUUAAUCUUAUAGAUGUAUUUUAAAGCCGUGAAGAAAUAAAUUUAUUACAAAUAGUAUGAGCUAGUCGAUCUCCAAUCCCAAUGAGGGGAGUUUGUUUGACCUUACAAAAGAUAUCAUUUGUUUCACCUACAAGGGAUCUUAACUUUGUAUAAUGCCUACAUGGGAGGGUGCUAUAUGUGUGUGGACUUGCUUGUAGAUGACAAUAUCUACUUGGGAGGAAGGAAGUUGGUCCUUAUAGAAAGAUGAUUAAUACUAAUAUAUAGUGAAGCAAGGAUUGCGAUAAGGCACUCACCAUAAGCAAAUGUAUAAUAUCAUUGCAGCUCCACUCUUGGUUAUUUUCUUUUGUGAGAUUGAGGAAGGCAUCUAGUACAUCGUUGCUUGCUGAUGAAGCUUUUGAUUGUACCCUUUGAGUGAUUAGACCAUCAAAAAUAUCAAUUAAUUUACCAAAAUGAACCUUCAUGUUCCGCUGUAUACAUUGUGGGUCAAUCAAUCUGAAGGCCGGGAAAUAAUCUGCAAAGUUGGGUUUUCCAGCUUCUUCCAUCACACCCCAUACAAUAUCCUUGAACUCUUGUGAAAAAGUAGAAUCAUGAUGAGCCAAAUUAGUGGAGAAAAUAGUGUUCGAUAACAAAUUAAGGCUUGCUGUGAAGGUUGCUGCACCAAUAUCGACUGCACAACCCCUACCGCAACAUUCUUCCACAUGGUCCAGCAGUUCCUGUACAAUUUUUUUCCGAAGGCCUUGGCUGGCAUUGAGCCGCUGCACCGAAAACAUUUCCCUGGUGCAUAUCUUCCUAAUCUUUCGCCAAUAAGCAGAUGUCGGACUCCAUAUCACUGAAGAUUCAUGAUGGUUAUGGGCUUUGACAGCACCCAGGACUUCUCGGCCGGAGAAGGCUUGAUCAUUUCUGUGUAGGACCUCUUUGGCGGUUUCGGGAGAGGAAACGACUAUGGUGGAAAUACUCCCAAGCUUGAGAGACAUUACAGGGCCAUAAGUCUUGGAGAGAUUUGUAAGAGAUUGAUGGGGUUUGUCCCCAAGUUUGAGGAUGUUGCCGAUGAUUGGAAAGGGGCGGGGGCCUGGAGGGAGGCUGGCUGUACUGGGUUUCCGGCCAAUUGGACUGAGCUUGAGGAGAUGAAUGCAUGUCCACACAAAGGAAAGCAAAAGCAAAACUGUUAUGUAAUCCAUGGCGAUCCCUUUCUAUACUACUCUUCUAUUCUUGAUGCUCCCUUUCUCCCUAUCUUCUGUGGUAUUUGUAUAGAAACAACACGACCAUGAACUGCUUAUCAACAAAAUCAUGGUUAUUUUGGUUUCUGCGUCAAAAAUAUUCAAACUUGAAAAAGAGAGACUUGUAAAAUUUGAAUUCUAAUAUUCAUACUUGAUUUCCAACCAUAAGACUUGUAAGACUUGUACACGACCAUCUUGAAAAUGUGAAUCUCAAUAAUGGACUACACCUAGAGGGGGUUGAAUAGGUGUUGUAGAACAAUUUAAAAAUUCUCCCAACAAAUAUUACCUAACCUUAGACUAUCUUAAUGUCAAGAAACUUUUCUUCCAACAACUUUUCAACAAAACAUAACAUCCACAAGCAAAAAUAUAUGCAACAACACUCUCCCAACAAUUUAUCAAUGUAAAACACAUGCAAAUGCUUCAACACUCCUCAAAAAUAAAUCAAAAUGUAGAGUGAGAGAAAGAGACAAUGAACACCAGAUUUUUAACGUGGAAAACCUCCGAAGAGAUCAAAAACCACGGGCCUAUCAUCGAUUGAAAAACUCCACUAUGAAGAAUAAAAACUAAGUACAAGGUUUUACCUAGGGUCAACCAAUCCUUCCCGAACUACUUGACUAGUACCUUCAUUUUCAGUUUCUCCCUUCUUCUUUCGGAGCACACUUGGAGUCCGCACCAAGCUCAAUCCCGGCCUCUUCUUGAAUCCACACAAGAAGAAAAUGGGUAUGUACCCAAACCCAAAUAGAAUGAGAGAUUGAGAUGUGAAUAAAGGAAUGAAUCAACCCAUUUAUUGCUCAAGAAAACCCAUUAAAAACUUGUUUGGAAAACAUUAAAAGAAGUGGAUUUUCUUUGCAAUCAAAAACCCCAAAUUAGGAAAACAAAAUGAGAAAAUAAAGAACACAAGGAGUGUGGCUGCUCUCUCCACGUUUUCUGCAACCACAACUCACAAAAAUGAGAGAAGAUUGCUUUUUAAAGUGUAAAAAAAAACCCUUAAUCUAAUGGCUGAGAUUUGAUCAAAAAUGAAUUAGUUGGAUUGAUCCACCCUUGCACCUGGAUCGAUCCAGAAACAAGGGAAUGAAAGUUUUGCACCAAAAACCAUUUCUCCCAACUUUCUAACACAUUUAAAGAUUAAAAACCAGGUUGAUUCACAUCCAAUCACCACACACUCGGCUACAUACCUUGGUCUCUUAGCAAAGUUUUAGUCUUCAAAGUCAAGUAGUCCGAAUAGGAAUUUGAAAGCCGAGUUAAGGGAUACUUAGGAAUUUUGUUCGGAAUUGCCAACCUAGCUAAACACUCACACAUCUAAAUGGAAAUUGUUUGAGAUUUUAUUAGCAGUAACAUUCUAUUUUUUCUUUAUUGACAAUACUAAAAAUUUUAUUCAACGAGAAAAAUCUCUUGUAUGAGGCAAAAUAAAGCUACGACAAAAGUAACAUUUUAUUAACUUUCAUAUUAAGUUUUUUUAAAAUCUUAAAUAAAUUAAUUAAGUAAACAUAAAACCUUUUAUUGAACUUUUAAAAAGAAAGUUUUUCUCUUCUUAUAAAUCAAACCAAGACGUAAGCAUUCUAUUUGAAAAAGUAGGUUGAAAUAUUUGAUUUGAGAACAUAACAAAAUUGAAAACAUAAAAAUGGAAAAUUAAGGUUUAUUUGGUUUUUUGAGAAUAGUAUUCAAAAACAUUUUUAUUGAACUUUCAAUGUUCUAAGUUUGAGAACUUGUAAUGUUAUCAACUUUUUUUCUACAAUAUUUUUAAAUAUUUUUUAAAAAUAAAUUUAGUUUCCAUCAUUCCUUAUAUUUAUAUAUUUAUUUUUUCAAAAGAUUCCAACAAGACAAAAAAUAUGGGAUCAUAUUUCUUUCAGAAAUUAGAAAAUAAGUGAAAAUACCCUCUCUUUUUUUCAGAAAUUACUAAAUUAAUGUAGUUUUUGAAUUGUAAAAGGGACCAACCAAUCCCUUUUCUGAUUCGGUUUGCCUUAUCAAGCCCUUUUGACUUUAAACCGGUGGUAACCGAUGAACCGUCCAGUCUGUCGAAGUAGCCCAUAGGGUAAAUUUGUCAAAGCAUUGUAUGGGCCAUAAAUUAUGCCUCACUUAUUUCCCAGCUUUUAUAUUCGUUUUUCCAAACAUCUUUGUCUCAUCUCACUUAUUUCAUGAAUAUUUUUGUUUCAAUCGUUAAAAACGUUAGCUCUGUUAUUGUUCCUACAAUAAAGACACUACAUUAAACCAUGAUUUCAAUUAAUCAUUCGAUGACUCCGAUGAGUAUAUUCCUCUUUAGUUCUUUCUUCUAUAUUGUAGAUCGAGACUACUAAAAAUUCCAUCCACCCUUUUAGCUGUUUCUGAGGCAAGUGACACAACAAAGUAAAAUCAAAUAUUUUGAAAACCUUGGGUGGGUUUUAGGUGAUGAUAGGGUAGCUAGAUAAACAACAUAGAAGUUACAUACAUGAAAACCUAAAAAUACAAUCAAACUUUGAUGGGAAUAGCCCAUAGAGGCUGGGCCUUCUGUAACAGGGUUCAAAAUCUCGGUCAAUACCGGUACGACUCGACUGAGUCAUAUCCGCCUCGAUCAUGGCUAGUACCGGACCAAUACCCGAGUUGGAUAUUUUGUUAGCUUGUGAACAAACUCAGUGGAGUAGAAAUAGUGGAGAAGAUGAGAGGAUCAAAACCCAUGAAAAUGAAAAAUGCAGAUUACAGAGAGUUAGAACACUCCAUCUUGGAGUCGCCGGCGAGGUCGAAGAAGCACGCUUGCUUGUUCGGAUCCCCCAAGUUCCCACCGGAGAUGAAACUGAGCGACAUGAGGAGAAGGUAGAGUCGUCAGACUCUGGCACCGCUGUUGUCGACGAAGAACGAUGGUGAGGUGGCUGAUGGAAGUGGGAGAAGAGAGAAAGUUGGCCUACAGAGGAGCUGCCUGAGACUUGUGAGUUUAGAGGAGAAAGGGAUGGGUGUUUGACUGCCAGUUGAGGGUUAUGGAUAAAGAUGAGGAUUUGAAUUUUAAAUAGUAUGUAUUUGUUUUUUUUAAGUACAUAAUGAAUAUUUGAUGGGGAUUUGGACUUUAAAUAAUUUGAUGAAAAUUAUAAUGAUAAAAAAUGAAUAAUGAAUAAUGAAUAUUAGACUUAUAUCAAAUAAAUAGGAAAUGAAUAUUUAUAUAAAAAUUAAAAUUAAUGAAUAUAUUUUAUAAAAAAAAAUUAUAUUUAUUUUUUUAAAGAUGAAUCAUGGUUUUAUUUUUUUAAUAAUUAAAAAUAUAUUUUUAAAAAAUCAAAAUAUUUAAUUUAAAUAAUUUUUUAUAAAAAAAAUUACUUUUUAUUAUUUUCAUCUUCAAUAAGAAACAUUUAUUAUCAAGUGAUUAAAUUAAAAUAUUUUUAGAGAUUUCUAAUAGUAUUAUAAAUCAUCCCAAAAUAUGCUUUUAUUAUAAUUUGAAUAAUUUGAAUAUAAUAGAAGUUUAUUUUAUUAAUUUUUUACUCUACUUAUUUGUAUUUAACUUUUUAAAAAUUUUUAAAAUUAUUUUGAGCUCUUAAAUUAGAAUUUUUUGCGUAUCACCCAAUAUCGAUUUGAGAUAUCGAGACCGAUGUGCCUCAGGACUUCCCAAGUCAAUGACCGAUACUGCGACUUUAAACUAUGCCUGAGACUUGUGGGUUUAGAGGAGAAAGAGAUGGGUGUUUGACUGCCAGUUGAGGGUUAUGGGUAUAGAUGAGGAUUUGAAUUUUAAAUAGUAUGUAUUUGUUUUUUUUUAAGUACAUAAUGAGUAUUUGGUGGGGAUUUGGAUUUUAAAUAAUUUGAUGAAAAUUAUAAUGAUAAAAAAUGAAUAAUGAAUAUUAGACUUAUAUCAAAUAAAUAGGAAAUGAAUAUUUAUAUAAAAAUUAAAAUUAAUGAAUAUAUUUUAUAAAAAAAAUUAUAUUUAUUUUUUUAAAGAUGAAUCAUGGUUUUAUUUUUUUAAUAAUUAAAAAUAUUUUUUUUAAAUCAAAAUAUUUAAUUUAAAUAAUUUUUUAUAAUAAAAAAUUACUUUUUAUUAUUUUCAUCUUCAAUAAGAAACAUUUAUUAUCAAGUGAUUAAAUUAAAAUAUUUUUAGAGAUUUUUAAUAUUAUUAUAAAUCAUCCAAAAAUAUGCUUUUAUUAUAAUUUGAAUAAUUUGAAUAUAAUAGAAGUUUAUUUUAUUAAUUUUUUACUCUACUUAUUUGUAUUUAACUUUUUAAAAAUUUUUAAAAUUAUUUUGAGCUCUUAAAUUAGAAUUUUUUGCGUAUCACUCGAUACCGAUAAGAGAUACCGAGACCGAUGUGCCUCAAGACCUCCCGAGUCAAUGACCAAUACCGUAACUUUAAACUAUGUUCUGUAAUGUAAACCCCAACUUCUCAUUCAUGUCCAUAUUUUCUGGUUUCAUACCAUCGUCAAGCUUCCAAGUAUAGGAAUGAAGAAGAGAGACCAAUAUCAGGUGCACCAUCCUAUGAGCUAAUGGCAAUCCAAGACAUAUUCUUCUUCCAGCACCAAAUGGAAUCAACUCAAAAUCUCGGCCUUUGACAUCAAUGUCACACCCUAAAAACCUCUCAAGCACGAAUGCAUUCGGGUUCAACCAAAUGCUUGGAUCACGACCAAUAGCCCAUGCAUUAAUUAGUACUUGGGAAUUCUUUGGAACUGUGAAGCCGCAUAUUUCUACAUCAGUUUCAGCUUUAACAAGAACUAGCAGUGGGGCUGGUGGGUGCAGCCUAAAGGUCUCUUUAACUAUGCCUUGUAAGUAAGGGAGCUUUUAUGUCAUGCCCCAAGACCCACUCCAAGGGCGUGACGGUCAUUUCACACUUCAAACUCGAAGGCUUACAGUGUAACCUAACCCAAACAAUUAUCUUGUAAUCGGAAGUUACCAAUUACCAAAUACCUGUUCAGAGUAGCGGAACAAAAUCUAAAAUCCUCAAAAUUCAAUUUCAAAACUAAAACAUCCACUAUCCAAAAUCCAUUGUCCAAAUAUUUGCAAACUUAAACAAUUCAAGUACUAUAACAAAUUUCAAAAUCUCCAAAACUCAACUUUGAUCUAACAUAAAAUUUGAAGGAUCAAUAUCCAAAUAACUUCCAAAUACCAAAAGAUCCAAAUGAACAUAACUAACAGUUGAACAAAAUCCAACAUAAAAUCGUAAGUCAAAUCCUAAUGAUGACCAUUCCUCAGCCUAGCCAUCACUCCUCACCCAAACUAAGGGUACCUGAAAAGUAGUCAACAAAUGGGAAUGAGCUCACAGCCCAAUAAGGAACAUUAAUGCAGUCCAUGGAUUAAAUAUUUCAAACUCACUUGCAAAAUAGGAGAUAUUGUAAUCAAUCAUUUUCAUAAAGCUGAGUAAAUUUUUAUUUUUAUUUUUUUUGCCAAUACAUUCAAAAUUUCUAAAUGUAUGCAUUUAUUUCUGAUUCAAACAAUUUCAUAUCAAAUUCAAUCAAAACAUUCCAAUAAUUUAUUUACUCUGGUCAUCAAACAUCAAAGGGUGCCCAAUUAGGUGGGACUUUUCAAAUGGGUGGUUAGCCUCAAAUUGUUCCUUUAAGGUGGAUGGAACCAAACACUACUAGUACUAGUAACCUCUAAUCGAAACCCCUAGAGGCUGAGGUUCAAAUCAAUUACAUUUCCCACCAAGAAAUGUAAAGGCCAACUAUUAUAUCCCAUUGACAAGGGCCAAAAAUCAACUAUAAUAUCCCGUUGACAAGGGCCAAAUAAACCAGAUUCAAAUAUUUAUUUCAUUUAUUCAAAUUUACAACAUAUAAUAUCUCCACAUUUAUUUGUCAAAAACAUAAUAUAAAAUUCUAACAUACUUUUCAUGCAAAAUAGGUUUGAUCCAUGCAUAAAACGGAAUAUAACUCAAACGUUUUCAAAUAAUGUAUAUAUAUAUAUAUAUAUAUAUAUAUAUAUAUAUAUAAAAUUGUUUCAAAAAAGAAUUUAACAACUGCAUUAAUUUCCCUUACCUCAAAAGAAGUCCUCAAAAACUUUGGAGAGAAAAUAAUCCUGAAAAUCUACUCUUCACCUAACAAAAUAUGAGAGGAAUAACUAUUACUAUUUAUCUAUAAUUUAACUAAUCUAUUCCUUAUUGAAAUAAAUUAAUAAAUUCCCAAUUUGUUUCUAAUAACACAAAGCCCUGCCAUUAUUAAAUAAUACAGUACUCAGUACUCAAGUACUCAUCAAAGUCUAACAAUACGGAGUCCUACUACUAUUAAAUAUUACAUACCCAAGUAUCCAUCAAAGCCUAAUAAUAGAAUAUGUGAAAAUCCACCAACUAGAGUUCAACCAUGAAAUCCUUACAAAAAAAAGUGGAUGCAUAGUUCCCACACGCAUGCGACCAGUGCACACACGUUUUUUUUUUUGUUAAAAAAAACUUAAGAUCUCCCAAAUUCCAACAAUAAAUCAAAACCUUAAAUUUUCACUAUUUGAUAUUAAAAUGAAUUAAAAAAAUAAACUAACCCUAAUCUAGAUUUGGGGUUUUCCAAAAAAAUAUAUCUAAUGUGCUCGAAAUUAACUAAUGAAUCUAAAAUAAUAAUCUAGGGGUUAGAAUCUUACCUAUAGAGGUUUGUUCUUCAAACCUUGAAAUCUGACCUCAACUUCACGUUCUCUGGAAACUCUCUGCAAACAGGAACGCGAUUCAGAAAAGAACAGGAAGAAGAGAAAUUUUCUAUUUAUACCUAGGGUAUUAUUAGUAAAAUUACCUUUUCACCCCUCUUCCAUUUUAUUAAAUUAAUUAAUUAAUUAAUCUAAUAUCAUUAUUAUGAAUUUCCUAAAUUACCCUUUAAAAAAAAAACUUGGGCAUUACAUUUUAGAUGUCUAAUUCUUGAACUAUCCCAUCCUUGCCAAGGACUUCUUGGAGCUCCCUUUGAGCUUUUACCAUUGUUUCCGGGUUGUGUAGUAGCUCUGCCAGUGCCCACUCUAUUAUGUCUGAAGUGGUGUCAGUUCCCGCAACAAAGAGAUCCUGAUCAUACAAAGCAGAGUUAGAAUUUAGGUUUCAUUGAUCAUAGUUGGCAAAUAUGCAGUUACCAAUGUUUUCUACAUGAAUGGAAAAGAAAAAUUGUACAAGAAAUAACUCCAAGGAAGACUAACUUCUAAUUGAUUGUUUACUUAAGUUUUUAAGUUAAUUUCAGUUUUAUAACUUAACCAAUUUCACAGUUAAAAGUUAAAAGGAAACGCAAUUGCAGGUACAUAAUAUAGAUACUUCAAUGGAGAAGUCACCAAGGAUCAGAUAUAAUGAUUUAUAAAUUGUUCCAAAAGUCACUGAAGUCAUUCUUCAUCAAAAUUAGGCUGUAGUUCAGCUAAAAUAUUGAGAAAUUCAAUCUUCUUGUGUAUAUAUAUAUAUAUAUAUAUAUAUAUAUAUAUAUAGGGGUUUAAUUAAAUAAAUUAUAGUAUAUAAUUAAUUAAUAGGUUUGGUCUGGUCUUAACUGACGAAACCACUUAGAGGAAGUGUGAAUAGGUAAGAACAACUUUCUAACAUCAAGAAAGAACCUCCCGAUAUCGAUCUCCCCUCCUCGUUAAGAUCCAAUGAAAGAAGUAGCCUACUGCUUUCUAAACCUGGAUGCGAUGUGAGGCAGUAUAGAAUGUACUACACUCAAAAAUACCAAAUAGUCAAGUUGGUUUGAUCACAUCAAUCAAGAGAAUAUAAAUGGGUAAGAGACAAGCUUCCUCAUAAAGAGCAUGAGCAAUAGCCACACACUCAGCUCGUAAGAGAGUCAGAAUAUUAGAAACCAUAGGAGGAUCAAUGCCUUAAUAUGGACACACAUCCCCAAGUUAAUUUUGACAAAUCUAUACAGAAGAUGCAACAAAGUCUAAACCAUAUAUCAAAACACUAAAAUAUACUCUAGGAAUAUACAAAUAAUAGAUGUUAUCAUAGAACAUUCAAGUGCAGUGAUUAGGGUAUAUAGCCAUUUGAAUAGACAUAAUAGUUGUUAGACAACAACCAGAUAUAGUUUGUUUUAUUUGUAUCUAUCUUAUUGUUGUAACUAUCAUCCUUUAAUCAUGUAAGUAGUUAGCUGAUUUUAUGCUAUUUCAAACUCUAUAAUUCAGCUAUAUAAAGCUGCUCUUGUAUUCAUUAUUAACACAGCAAUAUAAUACAAACAUUCAUUCUCAUAUUAUCUUUACAUGGUAUCAGAGCCCUCAUUCUAAUUUUCUGAUCAAUCAUGACUUCUUCUCAAAUGAUUCCUUCAAAUUCAAUCUCUUCUUCUGCUCAUCAUACCUUCUCUGUCAAGCUUACUCCAAGAAAUUAUCUUGCUUGGAAAACUCAAUUUAAUCCUCUUCUUAAUUACCAAAAUCUAACUGGGUUUGUUGAUGGUUCAACUGUUGCUCCAUCGAAAACAAUUAAAGAUUUUUCUACUCCUCCUACUGAGAUUUCAAAUCCAGAAUAUGAAACAUGGUAUAAAAAGGAUCAGAUGUUUCAUUCUUGGAUCCUUUCUUCUCUUUCAGAAGAGAUAUUUCCUUAUGUUAUUAGGUUAUCUUCAUCUUAUGAAGUAUGGCAGGCUCUCUCUCAAGCUUUUGGUUCAGUUUCUCAAAACCGACAGCUGCAAUUGCACAUUGAACUCCAAGAAUUGAAGAAAAACGAUCUCUUUAUCUCAACAUAUUUGUAGCGUGCUAAAGCUCUAGCUUAUGAGCUAAAUGCGGCAAGUCGUCCUCUUACCCCAGCAGAAUUUAAUGCAAUAAUUUAUCACAAUAUUGGCAGUGACUAUCAUGCCAUUAUCGCUGCCUUAAAUCUUCGUUCUAAACCAGUGUCAUUUCAUGAACUCCAUGGUCAACUUAUUGCUCAUGAAAUUUUACUUAAAGAGUUCUACUGAUCUUCCUCAAGCAAACAUGGUGACUUGUUAGUCUAAUUCUGCUCCAUUGCUUCCCACUCCAUCUCAGAAUAAUAAUCACAAGAAAUCUUCGAAUUGGAAUGGAAAUCGACCCCGUGGUCCUUGCCAAAUCUGUGGCUAUAGAAACCAUACUACUGAUCAUUGUUGUCGUCGAUAUUCUCGUUACAACUCUCACAACCAAAAUGCAACUCCUCAUGUUAAUUACUCUUCAGCUGGUCAUUCUCAAAAUAAUUGUGCAAGUUCUCAAGUUCCUGUUGCCAACUACACUCAUGGAGGUUCCAAUAUGCCUUGGCAUCCUGACACAGCAGCGAACUAUCACAUCAUCCCUGAUUUAGCCAAUCUCAACAUUACUCAUGACUAUAACGGACAUGACCGGCUCCAUGUUGGUAAUGGACAAGGUUUGCAAAUACCUCAUACUAGUAUCACAUCCCUUCCUUCAUCUUCUGGUUCUCUCUCUUUAAAAAAUGUUCUCUAUGUUCCUUAAAUUGUCAAAAACUUACUUUCAGUUCAAAAAUUUGCCACUGAUAAUUCCUGCUUCUUUGAAUUUUGGCCCUCUUAUUUUCUUGUCAAGGAUCAGGUGUCCAAGAAAAUCCUCCUGCAGGGCCCAAGUGAAGAUGGAGUGUACACUUUUUGCCCUAAUGUCAAGCAAGCAUUUACAACUAAAGCACCAACUAUGGACCAAUGGCAUGCUGCUUUGGGACAUCCUCAACGGCAUAUCGUGUCUAGUUUAAUCAAGCAAUUUCAUUUACCUUGUUCCAGUAAUUCUAGUUCUCUUUGUUCUUCUUGCAUUUUGGGCAAACAUGCUAGACUAUCUUUAGGAUCAGUUCAACAUAAAAGCACUGCUUCCUUUCAACUUAUUUACUCUGAUGUUUGGGGCCCUGCUCCUUUGUUGUCCAGUCUUGGCCAUCGCUAUGCUCUUAUUUUCGUUGAUGAUUAUUCCUGUUACACAUGGGUUUAUUUGAUUAAAAAUAAAAGUGAUGUUUAUUAUGUCUUUCUUCAAUUUGAGCAAUUCAUUCAUCGUCAAUUUAAUCAGAAAAUUUUGGCAUUCCAUUCGGAUUGGGGAGGGGAAUAUCGAAAACUAAACACCUAUUUUAAACAAGUUGGCACUGUUCACGGACUUGCAUGUCCUCAUACUCAUGAACAAAACGGUGUCGCAGAAUGAAAAAUUCACCAUCUUGUUGAUACUAGUCUUGCACUUCUUGCUCAUGCUAAUUUACCACUAUGAUAUUGGAAUUAUUGAUUACUACUCAAAAAGUACUUUUUUAUAGCUUGAAACUAACUAUUUUAAAUACUUUUAAGUAGUAGUUAAUACAUUUUAACUCAAUUGGCACAAUAAGGAACCUAGCAAGGGUUACUAAUAAGUUUUUGGCAAGUUUUGGUGUUUUUGGUAGCUUUAUGAUCAUUAAAACAAGCCAAAAAUGAGGGAGAAUUGGGUGAAAUCCAUGGCAAUGCAAAUUAAAGUUCAAAUACAUGAAGAAUCCAAGCUUUGGAGCAUUUCAUAGCUCUUUGCCAAGCCAAUCAGAGAUGCAAGGAAGAAAACCAGAGAAAGAGAUCCAACAACAAGCAAUUUCGCAUAGUUGUGCGAAAUUUCGCACACCAUGCGAAACCACUUGAAGCAGCCAAAGAAAUUUCGCACACCAUGCCAAAUUUCUCAUGGUAUGCGAAAUCUUCCUGUGCACCAACUCCGUUAGAUUUUUAUCUUCAGAUAUUUUGUGUAACCAACUUAGAUAUUUUCUUUAAUAUCUUUUUAUAUAUCUUUUAGGUAGCUUAUAUAUAAGGAGAGAGAGACAGUGGAAAGAGUAUGGAUGUUUUUCAUUAAACACUUGUAAAAUUCCCGUAGUAAGAAAUAUACAGAGCUUUUGCUCUGCCUUUCCUUCUCAUUUUUGUUUUCAUUUUUCUUUCUAGCCAAACAACCACUGAGGAUGAUUUCUCAGGGGAUGAGUGGCUAGGUUUUACGUUUCUUGGAGUGAUGGAAGCUAGGUGAAGGACCUGAAUGCAAAGGCGGGAGUUGUCCUUGCUUUAAAUGAAAGUAGUUGUUAACCAUUAAUGGUUUUUAUUUUAAGGUUUAGCUUUAAAUCCCUUAAAAUCACCUUAAAUGCCCAAUACUUGGUAAGCUUUUCGGAUUCCAUGGAUGCUUAUUGCUAGAUCCAUGGAUGUCUAUCAGUUAUCAUUUACGAGCCAUUGGAAGGCGGUUCAAGAGGAGAAUAUUUAGUGUUUGAAGCCAUUAAUGGGAAGCAACUAUCAAUUUCCAUGAACCCUUGGAUCAAAUCUUAAUUGCUAAAUAUAAAACCGGUUCGGGAGAUAACCAUCCUUUAUGUUAUUGUCCCCAAUGCGAGGAAAAGAUCUGGAAUCUCCCCCUUUGUCUAAGGAACCCGAUCCUAGUGACCUAAAGCUCCAAGAGACCUUUUCUUUAUAGUUAACUUCACUUAUUGUUUUUGCUUAACUUAAAAUCAAUCUUUGCAACCACAAUUCCAUUUUCUUUAAAAGCUAAUUUUCAUAAGAAAAAACACCAUUUUAUUUCCUUCAUUUAAGUCAACUGUACGAUGAAAACCCAUCCCUAUGAACGAUCCUAGAGCCAUUAUACUAUGUUAGCUAUGCUACCCUAGUGUGAUGUGAUUUAGGUUUUAUAAAUUUUGUUGAUAACACCCGUCUGAGCUAGAAUCAAAUGGCAUGACUGUAAUGGGGACGAAUCAAUUAUGCAUUUGAAAUGAGCUGUUCUUCUAUUAAUAAUUUGCCCACUCCGGUUCUUAAUCAUUCUUCCUCAUACUUUGUUUUAUUUCACAAAUAUCCUGAUUAUUCUACUCAAAAUCCUUUUGGGUGCAUUAUUUUUCCUCUAUUACGUCCAUAUAAUAACCAUAAGUUUGCAUUUCGGAGCACUCCUUGUGUCUAUCUUGGUCUAAGUCUCUCUCACUCGGGUAGUUGCUGUCUUAAUUUAUCAAAUGAUGGGGUCUAUAUUGCUAGGCAUGUUGUUUUUAAUCCUAGCCUCUUUUUGUAUCGUUCUCAUAUUGUAGCAUCUCAAGCUCCAAAGGACUCUUCAAAUUUCCCGUGGCUUCACAUUAAAAGUGUACCUCCAUCAUCCAAGGGUUCUGUUGGAAAUUCAGGUCAAACCUCUACUCCCUCUAAUAUUCCUUUAUUUUCUACCACUGAUCAAUCUUUAAAUAAUUCCUUAUUGUCAGCUCAGUCCCCACCUUUGACCACGCCACUCUCCUCUCACUCUCCUAUCCCACAACAAUAACCUUCAUUAGAUUCAACCGUUGAUCCUCCAUUAUCUCUUAAUGUUGAUCUCAACUAUUAUCCAGCUCAACUAAAUGUUGCGUCUUCUACCUCAACCUCUCCUCCUCGAAUUCACCCCAUGCAGCUUCGUUCUUCCACCAUGCAAAAACGACAUGCUUGUCUUUCCACCAAAGCUAAAAAUUACCUUAUCACAGAACCACAAACCUUCACUCAAGCCAAACCAUAUGUUGAAUGGCAUGAUGCAAUGCAAAGUGAAAUUAAUGCCUUGUUUUAGAAUCACACAUGGGUUCUUGUUCCUCAACCUCCAACUGCCAAUAUCAUUGGCAGUAAAUGGGUUUAUCGAAUUAAAAGGAAAGCUAAUGGGGAGAUAGAUCGAUUUAAGGCUCGGCUCGUUGCGAAAGGUUACUCACAGCAGCCUGGUAUUGACUACACUGAUACCUUUAGUCCUGUGGUUAAAGCUACUACAAUUCAGACUAUUUUAUCAAUUGUUACUUCUUCACAUUGGCCAAUCCACCAACUUGAUAUCUCAAAUGCGUUUUUACAUGGUUUUAUUGAUUCAGAUAUUUAUAUGGAGCAACCCAUUGGCUUUAAAGACUCUUCACAUCCAGACUAUGUGUGUAAGUUGUCUAAGUUGUUGUAUAGUCUCAAACAGGCCCCUCGGGCUUGGUUUCACAGACUCACUUCCUUUCUGUAGGACCUUGGUUUUCAAGCUUUAAAGGUUGAUUCUUCUUUGUUUAUUCUUCAUCAAGGUGCUCUUAAAUUCUAUGUUCUAAUUUAUGUGGAUGAUAUCCUCCUUACUUGCUUUGAUUCUACAAAACUGGAUUGGUUUUUAAGUAAGAUCAGAUCAACCUUUCCAGUUCGAGACCUUGGAUCCCUUCAUUUCUUCUUGGGUAUUGAGGCAUAAUUUUCGGCUGAUGGUCUUCUCAUCACCCAACGAAAGUACAUUACUGAUCUACUGGCCAAUUCUAACAUGUCUUACUAUAAGCUUUGUCAUACACCUAUGUCGACCAACCCUCCGCUUUCCAAACUCUUUGGUGAUCCUUUAUCAAAUGCAGAGCAAUAUCGCCAAGUGGUUGGAUCCUUGUACUACAUUACUCUGACCAAACUUGAUAUCUCAUUCUCGGUCAAUAAAUUAUCUCAAUUUAUGCAUCAACCCACUCAAGAACAUUGGACAGCAGUUAAGAGGCUAUUGCGUUAUCUUAAGGCUACUGUUGGUUUCGGUUUGUUCUUCUCCAAGCAUUCCAUUCUUGAUUUGCAAUGCUUCACUAACAAUGAUUGGGGUGGUUGCCCCGAUGAUUGUCGAUCAACAAAUGGUUAUGCAGUCUAUCUGGGCAAAAAUCUUAUUUCAUGGACUUCGAAGAAAUAGCCAACCAUUGCCCCAUCUUCCACCGAGAGUGAAUAUCGUGUUCUUGCUAACUCUACUGCUGAAAUUAUGUGGCUUCGAUCACUUCUCUCUAAACUUGGCUUCUCUUCCUCAAAUCCUGCUACAUUAUGGUGCAAUAAUGUGGGAGCUAUUUAUCUAUGUUCGAAUCCUGUCUCUCAUGCCCGAACAAAACAUAUUGAACUUGACUAUCAUUUCAUUCAAGAACAAGUCCAACAAUGCAACAUUCAGGUUCGUUUUAUUUCUUCAGAUGACCAGAUUGUUGAUAUUCUUACCAAACCACUUGGUCAGUGUCUACUUGUUAAGCACCGAGACAAGCUUCGGCUUUGUUCUUCUCCGCCUUCAACUUGACAAGGAGUGUAAGAGCAACAACCAGAUAUAUUUUGUUUUAUUUGUGUCUAUCUUAUUGUUGCAACUAUCAUCCUUUAAUCAUGUAAGUAGUUAGCUGAUUUUAUGCUAUUUCAAACUCUGUAAUUCAGCUAUAUAAAGAUGCUCUUGUAUUCAUUAUUAACACAGCAAUAUAAUACAAACAUUCAUUCUCAUAUUAUCUUUACAAUAGCCUUCCACCUCCAGUCAUAGGAAAUGUAGGGAAUAUGAGUACCCAAACUUAGAAAAAAAUCAUAUAGCACACUUUGCCUCAACAUGUCUCUCAAAGAAUCUAUCAUAGAAUGCAGUCCUAUGUUUCAUAAAGUAGAAAUAAUGAAUGGGAAGGUUAUAUUGUAUAGGAUUGAUGAAUAGGUGUCCUAACAUGAGGAGACCUAGAAUGAGAAGCAGUCAACUUCUAGACCCACCUCUACCAUAGGUCAUAGGAAAAAUAAGAGAAAAUUUUGGAAAUAGAAAUUAAUCUAGGAAAGUGUAAGAUCAAAAGUGUCCUAAACAUUGAGCUUCGAGGCCCAUUAAAGUCAAUUAUAAAGAGAAAUUGCAAGAAAAUCUUAUGAGGGAAGAGCAACGAAUGUUAGAAGAGAAAGGAGAUAAAAAUGGACACAUAUAGUGAAUAUCAAGUGUUGGUGCACUUUUAAAAUUAAGGACAUUUGAACAUCUCAUAAAGAGUGUGUAAACCCUUAAUUUUGUUCUGAUUAAUAUGAUAUAGGCUUAUUUAGAUGUAGUCUUUUGACUUACCAUUUCUCUCGACUUUAUUUUAUUCCAUUUUAUAAUUAUUUUUAUUUAUCUUUUUCACUUUUAUUCUCUAUUCUUUCUCAGUUCUUCCUUACCUUACUUUUUAUUCUCUCCACACAUCACCAUACAUGCACCAUGAUUACACUUCCAUUAAUUUCAAAAGAAACAAACAAUUUCCUCCAUUUGUUUUUUAGAAAGGAAUGUGGGUAUAUCUAAGCCAAACUAGAAGUGGGACUUGUGUUGUUGAGUGAUCAUUGUACAUUCAAAUCUAACAGUAAGAUACUGGAGUCCUCCGCGUUAAUUAAUUUUCCAGAUGAUAUAUUGUUGUCAACAUAAUGUUUGGGAAACACCCCAAUUUGCCACUUAGUUGGCCAAUCUCUACCAUCCUACCAAACACAUUUCUUUUUCUUUCCUUCACUCACUGUUUUACUAAUCUACUUGCAGGGUUACUUUCAACAAUGAAGGAUGGACCACAGCCAAAAGAACGGACAUACCUCUUAUUAACCUUACACUGAUUGUACUAUAACACAUGGAAAACAAUAAUGCUGGAAACUAUCUUUCCUUUUUCUCACUGUUUUUCAAAUCUACUUGUUUGGUCGCUUUAAAAAAAAUGAAGGAUGGACCAUAGGCGGAGCUAGAAAAUGACCUGAGAGGGGCCAAAAUAUGAGAACAUGUUUCAGAGGGACAUAAAUGAUUGAAUUUACCUAGUGAUGUAGCGGCAAUGAAAGAUAUUUUUAUUCUUUUCCUAGGAGGCCGGGCACUUGCCCCUCCUGAGCACCAUGUGGCUCUGCUCCUGGAUGAACCACAACCAAAAGAAAGGACAAACCUCCAUUGCUUGUACUGUAACACUCAGCAUGGAAAACAAAAAUGCAUGUUUUAAAAACUGAUCAAUCAAAGCCUGGUCCAGUUCGAUUCACAUGUUGAGCCGAAGCCAAGGAACCCACUGAAUAGAGGUUGAGAUGUGCCAAAAAUACCACAUACCACAAAUCUAUAGUAUGGGACCAUUGAUCGAAGAUUCGAAGAAAUGAUAGUGCAACCACUAGAUCUAGUGCUAGUUUUGUUAUAUAACAGUUGCAUUUUAGCUAAAUUUAUCCUACUUAUUUAUGUAAUAGUAAAUUUGAAAAAAUAAUAUAAGCAAAAUAACCUACUAUCUUUUAAAACUAUAAAAUUAUCUAAUAUUUAAUAUGUAAAUGAAGCUAAAUAAUAUCAUUUUCUUACAAAUAUUAAUAUAUAUAUAUAUAUAUAUAUAGAUAUGAAAUAUCAAAUAUGAAAAUGUUAGCUGACUUAUUUCAUGAGCAUUUUUUGUUUCACUUGUCUAAAAAUGUUAGCUCUGUUUUUUUUUUUUAAUCUUAAACAUUACAACUUCUAUCCACCCUUUUAGCCGUUUCUGAUGCAAGACUAUAAACAAAGGUCCCACCUAUUGUACCUAAAUCCUUCUUUAGUUAUAUCAUGAUUUUAUAUAUUUAUACUACCGUUUACUAACUCAAUUUUAUCAAAUAUUUUGAAAACCUUGCGUGGGUAUUAGGUAAUGAUAGGGUACAUAAACAACAUAGAAGUUACAUUCAUUAAAACAUAAAAAUACAAUCAAACUUUGAUUGGAAUAGUCCGUAGAGGCUGGACCUUGUGUAAUGUCAACCCCAAUUUAUCAUUCAUGUCCAUCAGGGUUCAAAAUCUCAAUCGAUACCGGUACGACUCGGCCGAGUCGUAUCCGCCUCAACCAUGACCGAUACUAGACCGAUACCCGAGUUGGAUAUUUUGUUGAACAAACUCGGUUGAAUUGAAAGAGUGAAUCCCAUGGAAACGUUGAGACAACUCCAAGAUCAUGUUGAGACUAAGCUAUUUGGGUUAUUGGUAAUAGAAAAAAAGGUAAUAUUGGAGUAGAAAUGGUGGAGAAGAUGAGAGGAUCAAAACCCACGAAAAUGAAAAAUACAGAUUACAGAGAUGGAUUGCAUCUUGUAGUCGUCGGUAGGAUCCCCCAAGUUCUUGCCGGAGAUGGAACUGAGCAACAUGAGGAGGAGGCAGAGUCGCCGGACUCCAGCACCGCUGUUAUCGACGGAGAACGAUGGUGAGGUGGCCGAUGGAAGUGGGAGAAGAGAGAAAGUGGGCCUGUGGAAGAGCUGGUUGUGGGGACUGGGGAGAAAUGGGUGUUUGACCGGUCAAUGGUGGUUAUGAGUAUUUAACAUAUGUGGAUUUGGGUUUUUUUUUUAUAAAUAGGUGAGGAUUUAGGUUUUAAAUAAUAUGUAUUUGUUUUUUAAGUAAAUAACGAGUAUUUGGUGGGAAUUUGAGUUUUAAAUAACUUGAUGAAAAUUAUAAUGAUAAAAAAUUAAUAAUGAAUAUUAGACUUAUAUCAAAUAAAUAGGAAAUAAAUAUUUAUAUAAAAAUUAAAAUUAAUGAAUAUAUUUUAUAAGAAAAAUUAUAUUUAUUUUUUUAAAGAUGAAUCAUGGUUUUAUUUUUUUAAUAGUUAAAAAUAUUUUUUUUAAAAUUCAAAAUAUUUAAUUUAAACAAUUUUUUAUAAAAAAAAUUACUUUUUAUUAUUUUCAUCUUCAACAAGAAAUAUUAUCAAGUGAUUAAAUUAAAAUAUUUUUGGAGAUUUUUAAUAUUAUUUUAAAUCAUCCCAAAAGUAUGCUUUUAUUAUAAUUUGAAUAAUUUUAAUAUAACAGAAGUUUAUUUAUUAAUUUUUCACUCUACUUAUUUGUAUUUAAUUUUUUAAAUAAUUUUUAUAAUUUUUUAAAAUUAUUUUAAGCUCUUAAAUUAGAAUUUUUUGCAUAUCACCCGAUACCGAUCCGAGAUACCGAGACAGAUGUGCCUCAAGACCUCCCGAGUCAAUAACCGAUACCGCGACUUUGAACUAUGAUGUCCAUAUCUGCUGGUUUCAUACCAUCGUCAAGCUUCCAAGCAUAGGAAUGAAGAAGAGAGGCCAAUAUCAGGUGCACCAUCCUAUGAGCUAAUGGCAGUCCAAGACAUAUUCUUCUUCCUGCACCAAAUGGAAUCAACUCAAAAUCUCGGCGUUUGACAUCAAUAUCAAACCCCAAAAACCUCUCAGGCACGAAUGCAUUUGGGUUCAACCAAGUGCUUGGAUCUCGACCGAUAGCCCAUACAUUAACUAGUACUUGGGAAUUCUUUGGAACUGUGAAGCCGCAUAUUUCUACAUCAGUUUCAGCUUUAUGGGGAAGUAGCAGUGGGCCGGGUGGGUGCAACCUAAAGGUCUCUUUAACUAUGGCUUGUAAGUAAUGGAGCUUUGAGAUGUCUGAUUCUUGAACUAUCCCUUCAUUCCCAAGGACUCCUCGGAUCUCCUUUUGAGCUUUUGCCAUUUUUUCCGGGUUGCAUAGUAACUCUGCCAUUGCCCACUCUA
rnacentral:lncRNA from 1 species